GCCUGGGUGGCUCAGUGGUUGAGCGUCUGCCUUCAACCCAGGGCGUGAUCCUGGAGACCUGGGAUCCAGUCCCACACCGGGCU
rnacentral:tRNA from 1 species